rnacentral:rRNA from 1 species
GUCCGCACGGUAAACGAUGGAUGCCCGCUGUUGGUCUGAAUAGGUCAGCGGCCAAGCGAAAGCAUUAAGCAUCCCACCUGGGGAGUACGCCGGCAACGGUGAAACUCAAAGGAAUUGACGGGGGCCCGCACAAGCGGAGGAACAUGUGGUUUAAUUCGAUGAUACGCGAGGAACCUUACCCGGGCUUGAAUUGCAGAGGAAGGAUUUGGAGACAAUGACGCCCUUCGGGGCCUCUGUGAAGGUGCUGCAUGGUUGUCGU